rnacentral:rRNA from 1 species
AUGAACGCUGGCGGCGUGCCUAAUACAUGCAAGUCGAGCGAACGGACGAGAAGCUUGCUUUUCUGAUGUUAGCGGCGGACGGGUGAGUAACACGUGGAUAACCUACCUAUAAGACUGGGAUAACUUCGGGAAACCGGAGCUAAUACCGGAUAAUAUUUUGAACCGCAUGGUUCAAAAGUGAAAGACGGUCUUGCUGUCACUUAUAGAUGGAUCCGCGCUGCAUUAGCUAGUUGGUAAGGUAACGGCUUACCAAGGCAACGAUGCAUAGCCGACCUGAGAGGGUGAUCGGCCACACUGGAACUGAGACACGGUCCAGACUCCUACGGGAGGCAGCAGUAGGGAAUCUUCCGCAAUGGGCGAAAGCCUGACGGAGCAACGCCGCGUGAGUGAUGAAGGUCUUCGGAUCGUAAAACUCUGUUAUUAGGGAAGAACAUAUGUGUAAGUAACUGUGCACAUCUUGACGGUACCUAAACAGAAAGCCACGGCUAACUACGUG